GCCUCUCCAUCAACGUACCCAUCACCAGAUCUGGGCCAUAACAUUCUACCAGCCUUCCUGUUACAAGGUUCACAAACUUAAUGCUUGUGAGGAGAUCCUCAGCUCCUGGGGUCCCGAAGGCUGGGAGCCAUGGAAGACCAGAGUGACCAGUUCCAGCAGAUUAAGAAGAAGAAGGAGGAAGAGGAGGAGGAGGA